GCGAUGAGCUGAAUUGCAUAAGUCGGUAAAGCGCGUCUUAGACACGUGUGGAUGUGGCCGCACGGCUUUACACGCCGCAAUUAACAAAGGCACCCUGCGAGGGUGCCUU
rfam:Terribacillus aidingensis strain MP602, complete genome.